rnacentral:rRNA from 1 species
CCUACGGGUGGCUGCAGUGGGGAAUUUUGGACAAUGGGGGCAACCCUGAUCCAGCCAUGCCGCGUGAGUGAAGAAGGCCUUCGGGUUGUAAAGCUCUUUCGGCCGGGAAGAAAUCGCUCAAGCUAAUACCUUGGGUGGAUGACGGUACCGGAAGAAGAAGCCCCGGCUAACUACGUGCCAGCAGCCGCGGUAAUACGUAGGGAGCGAGCGUUAAUCGGAAUUACUGGGCGGGCGCCAUACGCCGGAUGUGAAAUCCCCGGGCUUAACCUGGGAACUGCGUUUGUGACUGUGGUGCUCGAGUGCGGCAGAGGGGGGUGGAAUUCCACGUGUAGCAGUGAAAUGCGUAGAGAUGUGGAGGAACACCGAUGGCGAAGGCAGCCCCCUGGGUCGACACUGACGCUCAUGCACGAAAGCGUGGGGAGCAAACAGGAUUAGAUACCCGUGUAGUC